rnacentral:rRNA from 1 species
GUGGGGAAUUUUGGACAAUGGGCGCAAGCCUGAUCCAGCCAUUCCGCGUGCAGGAUGAAGGCCUUCGGGUUGUAAACUGCUUUUGUACGGAACGAAAAGCCUCUGGUUAAUACCCGGGGGUCAUGACGGUACCGUAAGAAUAAGCACCGGCUAACUACGUGCCAGCAGCCGCGGUAAUACGUAGGGUGCGAGCGUUAAUCGGAAUUACUGGGCGUAAAGCGUGCGCAGGCGGUGAUGUAAGACAGUUGUGAAAUCCCCGGGCUCAACCUGGGAACUGCAUCUGUGACUGCAUUGCUGGAGUGCGGCAGAGGGGGAUGGAAUUCCAGGUGUAGCGGUGAAAUGCGUAGAGAUCUGGAGGAAUACCGGUGGCGAAGGCGGCCCCCUGGACAAAGACUGACGCUCAGGUGCGAAAGCGUGGGGAGCAAACAGGAUUAGAAACCCCAGUAGUCC